CCUACGGGUGGCAGCAGUGGGGGAUUUUGCACAUUGGGGGAAACCCUGAUGCAGCGACGCCGCGUGUGGGAAGACGGUCUUCUGGAUUGUACACCACUGUCCCCAGGGACGAAUAUGACGGUACCUGGGGAGGAAGCUCCGGCUAACUACGUACCAGCCGCCGCGGUAAUACGUAGGGAGCAAGCGUUGUCCGGAAUUACGGGGUGUAAAGGGAGCGUAGGCGGGAGGGAAAGUAGGGUGUUAAAUCUACCGGCUAAACUGGGAGUCGCACUCAAAACUGCUAUUCUAGAGUGAAGUAGAGGCAGGCGGAAGUCCUGGUGUAGCGGUGAAAUGCGUAGAUAUUAGGAGGAACACCAGUGGCGAAGGCGGCCUGCUAGACUUUUACUGACGCUGAGGCUCGAAAGUGUGGGGAGCAAACAGGAUUAGAUACCCCUGUAGUC
rnacentral:rRNA from 1 species